rnacentral:rRNA from 1 species
AGGACGAACGCUGGCGGCGUGCUUAACACAUGCAAGUCGAGCGGAAAGGCCCUUCGGGGUACUCGAGCGGCGAACGGGUGAGUAACACGUGAGUAAUCUGCCCCUAGCUCUGGGAUAGCUCCGGGAAACCGGGAUUAAUACCGGAUACGACCACCUUAGACAUCUUUUGUGGUGGAAAGAAUUUCGGCUAGGGAUGAGCUCGCGGCCUAUCAGCUUGUUGGUGGGGUAACGCCUACCAAGGCGACGACGGGUAGCCGGCCUGAGAGGGCGACCGGCCACACUGGGACUGAGACACGGCCCAGACUCCUACGGGAGGCAGCAGUGGGGAAUAUUGCGCAAUGGGCGAAAGCCUGACGCAGCGACGCCGCGUGGGGAUGAAGGCCUUCGGGUUGUAAACCCCUUUCAGCAGGGACGAAGCGAAAGUGACGGUACCUGCAGAAGAAGCGCCGGCUAACUACGUGCCAGCAGCCGC